GGGAUUUUAAAGUGGGAUUUUAAAGUGGAAAUCAACCUUUGCAAUAUCAUUACCAUUUCUGCUGUGGUACCAGAGGCUCUAAAAUCUCUGCAUGAUUUGGUUCAGUUGAGGUGUUUGGGAUAUUCUUAGUGAUUUUAGAAAAGCUUCAUCUUGUAAAAGUAAAAUACCAGUAAAUAUCCCAAGGUAAUUUUCAGGUAUUUUACUGUGUUAUGUAUAAACGAUUGAACGUAAAGGGAGAUAUAAACAGACAUAACAGGCCAGGCUUAGGAGGGGACAUAAUUAUUUUAAUCCCAACACUCAGAAACCAGAGAGGCAGGCUUCUGUGAGUCCAGGCUAAUACGCUCUACAUAGCAGAUAAGGAGCAGCUGGAACUACGUGGUUGUCAGAAAGCAGUAGCUCCUCUAGCCGCUGUGAGUACCAAGUGUGAAACUGCUGCAGGUUGCAGUGGUGGUUUGGAGAUGCAUCUAGUUAAUAAGUAAUCCUGAAGCUUUCUAGUGUCCUAGCAAGUCCUGCUUAUCUGCGUGAAUUCUAUGUGCAUAUGAUAAAUUUUAUUCCUGACCAGUGGUCUCAUGGGUAUAAUAUUAAAAGUAUUUAUCCUUUACUUUUUGUCUUUUUAAUCCUAGGUAGAGAGGUAGCAAGAAUGCUAAGCACGAGAUUACAAGUAAUGAAAAUUCUUUUAUUUAGCAAUUAUAUAUUCUUGUUAGAUCUCAAAAAGUUACGGCUGCUUAGGAGAGAGUAGCUGGAGGAUGAAGAGAUUUCUUCUAAAAUUAAAGGGAAAAUGGUUUCCUAAACUCCACAGAGCAGAGAAGGUGGUGGCCAAGCAUAUAGCAACAUGUGGGAUACAUUUUCACAGUGUCCUUAAGAAAGGGCAGGACACACGGGGCCAGUGCAGGAGCAUUUGAAGCACACUUCCAUUUCUGGGAUCUCGUAUUUCAUUAUGUGUAAUAAGGAGCUGAGAACGCGGGCAAAUGCAGCUCUUCAGUUUCAUCUUGAGUUCAUUUUCCAAAUAAAAAGGGCCUGCUCUUACGGCUUCAAUCAUUUGUAUUUUCAGAAUCGCUUAGGGCACAUUUCCUACCCAGUUUUAGUGACAUUGCACUAACCCAGCUAGGGAAGAUGGGCGUGAACCACUCCAGCCAUUGCGGUGGUUGGAUUGCAUUCAGGACUUUCCUGUAAAGGAGACAUGGUUUUUCUUUUGAGCUUACCUCUGGGAUAAUCAGUUAAUCAGUUUCCAAAUAACCAGAAAGCAGUCAAAGAUGAUUUUCUUUUGGAUUCCACAAAACUGUAUACUUUUUUUUUCCUUUAUAAGUGCCUACAGCAGAGAAUAGUUUUAACAUUUUUUCAACAUUUUAUCUCUAGCAGAUUAGCAGAAGACACUGUCAUUGUGCUAUGGCUGGAAAAGACAGAAUACACAAAAGUAGUCCUUCAGCAAUGUUCAGGUCUCAUCACACCACUGAGAAAUGUGCCACCAGGGUACCUUGCUUCUUUCUCAGGCUUCCUAGGCCGAGAUGUAGGGCCCAGCACUCUGCUGUCAUUCCUUAAUACGGAGUCAAGGAACCCAGAGAGAACAACAGCGUGUUACAAUCCAGGGUGGAGAAAGGUUGGUUUUAGGGACACUUCCAAGAGCUGCCUACUUCCUUGUGGCAGUGAAACCGUCAGACAUUGUGUUCUCCAAUGACUAAGGAACACAGGAAGUUGAGAAUUAUUGCAGAAUCGAUUUGGAGAGAUGAGAAUCAUAUGACCAGGUUGGUUCUGACUGGAACUUCCAAUCUUUUCCUUUCACUGGUUCCCAUUUUUUAUAAUCUCCUCUUUCGUGCUUCUGAGUAAACACUACAGGCUUGGGAACAUGGGCCCAUGGCACCAGCACUUACCAAUGAGGAGGGGCAGUGCUAGGACUCAGUGGGUUUUUUUGUUUUGUUUUGUUUUGUUUCUCGUGUCUAUAAAGACAUGUGUGUAGCAGUCAUUGGCAUACCUCUGCAGUCCUAGCACCCUCGGUUACAUAGGAAGUAUGGGCUAGCCUGGGCUACAUGAGACCUUGUCCUAAAGAAGAGGGUGAUAUUUUAAAUAUAUGUCUUCAAGUAAGUUUUAUAAGUUGUAGGGGAAACUUGGACAAUUGAAAUAAGACAGUAAAGCUGGCAACAUGAGGUAAAGAAAAGUGCUUGCUCUCAGGCGGGGACCCACGUGGUGGAAGGAGAGAACCAACUUGUGCAAGCAGUUUAUGCUUCAGAGCUGAAUAACAACAAAUUAUCUUCUGUGGCAGCAAAUUUCCAGGGCUUCUCAAACUUUAAAAACUCCUGAGAAGCAGAUGACUUGUUUUUUUCCCCAUCAUUACAUUAGCCGAAGUGAGGCAGAGGUCAGCCAGGAUGCGGGUAGCAGAGCCUACUCUGAUGCUGUAGGUGUUGCCCAUAUAAUAUAACUUGUUCUGUGGCCUUGAAUGUUAGCCCAUUGCAUUUUAAACUUUGGCUCUUAAUAAUUUCUUACCAGUUAAAAAUACAAGUGUAACUGAAGAAGUGGGCAAGUACCAGUUGCCUUUGGUGAUAUGAUAUCAAUUUAUGAGGAAAGAGCUUGAGAAACUAUCUCAGGUCAAACCUAUGGAACACCUUAAAGGAACACCUAGAGAAAAAUUACACCUAAUUUCCUGUCUUAGUCAGAGUUCAAUUGCUGUGAAGAGACUCUGUGACUGGCAACAUUUAAUUGGGGUAGCUUACAGUUCACAGGUUCAGUCCAUUAUCAUCACGGUGGGAAGCAUGGCAACACACAGGCAGGCAUGGUGCUGGAGAAGGAGCUGAGAGUUCUACAGCUUGACUCAAAGGCAGCAGAAGGAGAAUUGGGUGCCCCGCACCCACAGUGAACACAUUUCCUCCACUGAGACCUCACCUACACUUCCUAAUAGUCCCACUCCCUAAGACCAAGCAUUGAAAUGAGCCUUUGGGAGCGGGACAUUCUUAUUCAAAUCCCCACAUUCCCCCAGUAGGAUUCUGCUUACUUUAAGUAUGCUUUUAUUCUCAGCUCAGUCCCCACUGUCUUGUGAGGUCAGGGUAGAAACUCUUGGGAAUGGAAUGUAUUCAUGUAGUUGCUUAGCUUACAACCCACAUUGGAGAAAGCUCUCAGUGUUAAAACAUGGAACCAGAACCUCUUUAUUCUAAGCAUUGAAAGUUAUUGUCUAGUACCUAAUCUUUUUAGAAGUGUGUAGGAACUUUUAUUUUUCCUAGCUAAAAACGAAAAAUAACAAUGGGUAUGUUGCCUCCAUGCAUGGCUGUGUGCCACAUGUGUGCCAGGUGCCUCUAAAUUCCUAGGAACUGGAGUUACAGACAGUUGUGGGCUGCCAUGUGGGUGCUAAGAACUAAAGUCCAGUUCUUAAACGCUGAGCCAUCUCUCCAGGCCCUGAGAUGGCUUACCUUUUCAUCAGAAGAGCAAGUGCAAUGAAGUUCAGUUAAAGGCUGCAUUCACAGGCUCCUGUGCUCUUCACAGAGCUGUUAGCCACGGAGGGCCCUGCCAGUUCAGGGAACAAUGACUAGUAAGGUUGCCUGGGAAUGUGAAGAAUUUUCUAUUUCUCAUAGAAUCAUCUUAUCUAGCAAUAGAAAUUAAGGCAGUGGAAAAACUAACAGGAGUCAAGAUCUUCCUUUUCAUAAACGUAACUCUGAGCACACGAAACUCUGUUGCUUUAUCUUGAAGACUGAGCUCUUGAUUUUCCCACUUAUCCCUCCCAUCACCUUAAUUGACUCAGUAAAUGAAUCCUUUAUUUGAGAAGAAGCUGAAGUAGGGUUUGCUAUGUACCUGUGGUUGGUCUGUUACUCACUAGGUAGCCCAGGCUGGCCUUCCAGCUCAAGGCAACCUUCCUGCCUUCCCUGAGUGCUGGCAUUGCAGGUGUGUGCCACUACUGGUAAAUGGCACCAUUGUUAAUCCAGAUGCUCAACCAAACUCUAGGAGGUAUCUGUGAUGUCUCUUGCUCUCCACAUCCAGUUCUAACCCUUCUUUACCUCCAGAAACAGUGGGUAGGUCUUUUCCUUACCUGACUCGUAGGCAGUAACUUCUGAAUUCCUGACUCUGCUCUGAGCAUCCAGUAAUCCAUGUUUCUCUUUCUGUCUGCAGGGUUGAUUGUUUUAUGCUGGGGUGUGUGUGUGUGUGUGUGUAUGUGUGUGUGUGUGUGUGUGUGUGUGUGUGUGUGUGAGAGAGAGAGAGAGAGAGAGAGAGAAAGAGAGAGAGAGAAACUUUCAGCUGUGCCAUCUAUCUUCCCCCAGCCCCCAGACUAGGAAAUUGUGAGGAGGGGCUAGGAGUUGUAGCUCAGUGUUAGAGCAUGUACUUACCAUAUGUAAGAGCCUAGAUUCAAUUCUCAGCAUUAAAAAAAAAAAAAAAAAAAAAAUUGAAUCAGGUUACAGGUUAUCAGGUUAACCCAACUUAAGAUAUAGUGGCUUCCAUUGCACUUAAUAUACAAUGGGAGCUCCUUCUCAACACCUGUGCCUGUGUAUGAUCUCUUACCUAUAGCGACCUUACCAGUUCCAAGGACCAACAACACCAGCCAUUGUUCUGUACUAUCCCUUACGCCAAAGAGUUUCCUGUCUUGUCAUUUGAAUCUUGUUCACAUGUCACCACCAUGGAGAAAUUUCCCUAGGUCCCUUCUGUUCUCUCCUCAGUUUUUCGUAGCAUCCAUCUUAAUCUGGAGUUACUUGGCCUGAGUAUUGUUUUUCUCUCACCCUUCUCAUUAGCACUGUAAGAACUAGGACUAUGUCAGCCUAUUUUCCUUCCUCCCUCAGCGUCGGAAACCCUAAGGCCUGGCACAUGAACUGACUAGUUAAGUCAUAUCGCUGUUUGGGAUGAAGCUCACUGACCACUUUAGCUGGAAGUAAAGAGGGUAGCAAACUAGUAAGCUAGAGUUGCUGCCUGUUGACUGUAUUCUUGGGGUAAUUACUGAGAAGCUCUGUGUAGUACCCGUCAGCCAUUGUGCAUUCCCAUAUAACUAGCUCUAAUCAUCACUGUAUUAUCCUACAAACAGCAUGUUGAGUGUUCAUAGGUUAACAGUUCCCUUUCAUGGUUAAUUACCUGUCAAUUUGCAUAGACAUUUUAAAUUCUUAACCUGUAUUCU
ensembl:lincRNA